GAUGAACGCUGGCGGCGUGCCUAACACAUGCAAGUCGAACGAUGAAACCGCCCUCGGGCGGACAUGAAGUGGCGAACGGGUGAGUAACACGUGACCAACCUGCCCCUUGCUCCGGGACAACCUUGGGAAACCGAGGCUAAUACCGGAUACUCCUCGCCCCCCUCCUGGGGGGCCCGGGAAAGCCCAGACGGCAAGGGAUGGGGUCGCGGCCCAUUAGGUAGUAGGCGGGGUAACGGCCCACCUAGCCCGCGAUGGGUAGCCGGGUUGAGAGACCGACCGGCCACAUUGGGACUGAGAUACGGCCCAGACUCCUACGGGAGGCAGCAGUGGGGAAUUUUGCGCAAUGGGGGCAACCCUGACGCAGCAACGCCGCGUGCGGGACGACGGCCUUCGGGUUGUAAACCGCUUUCAGCAGGGAAGAAAUUCGACGGUACCUGCAGAAGAAGCUCCGGCUAA
rnacentral:rRNA from 1 species